AUUCCCUUCUCUCCCUCCCACUAAAAAGUUUGCGACGGCUGCGCUGUUCUUCCCAUCAGCGCCGACUGCUGCUUCGUUGGAAUCCAGAUUCGGUUGUGGGGGAGGUGGAAAGACGACCGGCGACGAAGGGCCUCUGGACGACGCCGCCUCUACGACCACGAUGACAUCUCAGUCUCACUCUCAAACGGUUCCAGCAGCCGGGGCAAGCACAUCGCGAGAUUGUAGGCUCUGGGAUUCAGAAUGAAUGGAUCAUUGGUGUGGUACCAAGUGGUGAUGAAGAACAAGUUGAAGUUGAACUGCUGCAGAUCUCAGAUCUCUUCUAUACUUGUUAUGUUCAAAUUUAUAUUGAGAAUCCUCUGUUUUUUACUGAAAAUACCCUGUUUUCUGAGAAAAACACGCACAUGUAUUAGUAUAGAUUUGUGAUAUACAUGCAUAAGUACUGUAGUCGCGAAAUGGGUUAGCGGCCGCUAUAGCCGGCGAUAGCGGCUGUAGCGUUGGCAUAGAGCCAGCCGCUAAAUGCCUUAGCCCGCGAUCUGAAACUUUGGUUCUGCCACAGUAGGCUGCUGGCGGCGGCGGCGGGCCGAUGUCGCCCUUCCACAUGUAGCUGUCUCGCGCGGGUCGUGUUCCCCAGUCCAGGACAGGCCCGUCGGGUUCACGCCGGGCCGCGUAGUUGCUUCGCAAUCUCGGGGAGAGGAAGUUGCCUUCUGUGCCACACUGCCACCACUGGCGCUGUACCACGGGAUUGGGAUAGAUGAUACAUAUGACAUGUGGGCCAAUGUAGUCAGCCACAGUAACAAAUGACCCGAUCGGGAAUGCCUUUUUCCCGGUGUGCCAAACUAAUCCAGGGUUGAGGUUGACUGGGAUAUGUGAGUAUAGGGUAUCGACUUUAGGGAUUGAGAAGUUACGGUUUGAUCCCGAUGAAGUAUAUGAAUUCAAGGUUUAUAAUAGACUUCACUCCAGAAAGGAUGAACCGGUCCAGAGCUCCUUCCUCCAAUCCAUUGCACUACCUCUCUUCCUGCUCCUUCCCUCCUUCUCACCCCAUCCUAUGUAUUUUCAAUUUGUUUGCUAAAUAAUACUCCAUGGUGCUUGCACGCCCAUGGAUCUGGAAGUAGACAUUUUAGUGCUUUUCCUAUUCCAUUAUCUGCUCUUUAUUUUUUUUGCUAAGGGUACUGUUUUUCUGCGUGGAGGAUUAGGCUGGUUAUAUAGUCAGAUUAAGAGUUCUGCUCUGAGACAUACUGUGCUAAAGAACUAAUUAUUUUGUACUCGACCCCUCUGCGAUGGGACUUUUCGUGGCAGUACAUUCUUUGUGCCCUUGCCAGGAAUAUCUGACGUGCGUCAUGACACAAGCAGUUUUUGAGGGCUUAAUGGUAGCGCUGGUUCUCUCAUACUCGCCAUCCUCACUGCAUCUGUCACUUUCAGUGCCAUCUCUGUUUCCCUCCACUAUGCCCCCAAGGCCAAGGUACGCACAUACAACAGGGGUUGCGAUGAAAGAUGUCUUUCCAUCUAGCUCCUUUACUGGUCUGUACCAGGUGAUGAAGAUGGCAUGCCUCUAUUUGAUUAAAACAACUGGUUAAUACCUAGAGCUGCAUUUUCAACAUUGCAUUUCAAAAUUAAAUGAGGAACCAUUUUUUGUUUGCAAUCUUGAGGUUUAUAGUCUGAAUCAAAACUUUAAAGCAAGAAGUAGGCUUAUACUUGAGGUUUGUGUUUUUUUUAACUUUGAGGAGCAGAGGAGAACAAGUCCAUGCUAGAACCAGCCAAGGCACCGUCACACUGAUAGUCAAACCACCAAGGAGUUGAGGGCUGAACCUUGUGCUUCGCAUGGUGGAAGCAAUCGAAAAAGAUUGAGGUUGCUUGUUCCUAGGAGGUUACCAUCGAGACACACGGGCCAUCGAUCACAUGUUUUUUAAAUGCGUCUUUAGAGAAUAAGAUGUCAGAUUAUGUUUCUUAUAAAUGUUUUACUUCCUUGACAAUAACUCAUUCGGUUGUCUUUUGUAUAUGAUAUAAUAUAUUCCAUUGUUAUCAUCUUUUUUUAUAGUUCCUCCAAUGUGCCAACUAUAGUUUUUUGGAUGAACCAACUAUCCAUGCUAUCUUUGUAAGAAAAUCAGAAGAUUUUGAGCAAUAGCUAUGUAUUUAUAUGACAA